rnacentral:sRNA from 1 species
GUGCUAUUUAUAUUCUCCUGCUUGGUGGAGGAGGUGGGAGAGAUCAUCUGGGAGCCACAACACAGCUGUUUGAACAGCCCAGCGUCCCAUGCUCGGUGGCCCCAGAAAAGUCAGUGUGUAGGCCUCAGCCACUUCAGGUCCGGCGUACAUUCUCCCUGGACACCAUCCUCAGCUCCUACCUUCUGGGCCAGUGGCCACGAGAUGCUGAUGGGGCCUUCACCUGCUGCACCAAUGACAAGGCCACCCAGACACCCCUGUCCUGGCAAGAGCUAGAAGGUGAGCGUGCCAGCUUCUGUGCACACAAGCGCUCAGCAUCCUGGGGCAGCACAGACCACCGAAAAGAGAUUUCCAAGUUGAAGCAACAACUGCAGAGGACGAAGCUGAGCCGCAGUGGGAAAGAGAAGGAGCGAGGUUCCCCACUCCCAGGGGACCAUGCAGUGCGGGGAGCACUGAGGGCGUCCCCUCCCAGCUUCCCCUCAGGGUCCCCUGUCUUGCGACUCAGCCCCUGCCUGCACAGGAGCCUGGAAGGGCUCAACCAAGAGCUGGAGGAGGUGUUUGUGAAGGAGCAGGGAGAAGAGGAGCUGCUGAGGAUCCUUGAUAUCCCUGAUGGGCAUCGGGC